ACAUAUACAUCUAUGUACAAAUACGUAUUCUCUCUCUGUUAGCCUUUGUUUACUCGCGAGGCCGUCGACGCUGACUCUUUCGGUGUGUGUGCCGUACGGGAGCGCAGGAGACGUGACAGGCUUCUUCUCUCUAACGCACGGGAAGGCACUUACUCACCUUACAAGGCUCUUUGGGACUAAGGAUGGCGCCGCUUAACGCGACCGAUAUCGUGGUGAACACAGAGCCACCGCAGCGUCGCAUGGCUGGCGCCGCCGCGGUGCCGCCGCCCGCGCCUGGCACCUUUACCCCCGCGGAACGUGCCAUCGGGGGCGAGAUUCAGAUGCCCUUGGAGAAGAUCUUUGCCCGCGCCAACGAGGCAACGCCGAUGUACGAAAAACUCGGCAAGGUAGAGGGCAUCGCGAACACGCUGCACACGUCCCUGAAAAACGGCGUGGACGGCAACACCGUGGAGGCGCGCCGCGCCUUCUUUGGCAAGAACGCACUGCCCGAGGAACCGCCGCUAACCUUUUGGGAGAUGUACAAGGCCUCGUGGGAGGACAGCAUGAUCCGCCUGCUGACGGUGGCGGCCAUCGUGUCGCUCAUCCUGGGCCUCACCGUGCCGGAUCCCGGCGAGACGGAGGUGAACUACAAGACGGGCUGGAUCGAGGGCUUUGCCAUCAUCUGCUCUGUUAUCAUCGUGACCACAGUGUCAUCCGUUAACGACUAUAACAAGGAGAAACGGUUCCACAAGCUGACGGAGGAGAACUCCGCGCAGCCGGUUCGCGUGCGCCGUGGCGGAAAAGAUGUCACGAUCGAUGUGACGGAGAUUGUCGUGGGCGAUAUCGUGAACCUGUCGCCUGGCCUUGUGGUGCCUGUGGAUGGGUUCUACGUGACGGGCAUGAGCGUUGUGAUCGACGAGAGCAGCGUGACGGGCGAGAAUGACCCGAAGAAGAAGAACGCGAACGCGCCGAUCAUUUUGACAGGGACUGUGGUGAACACUGCGGAGGAUGCGUACAUGCUUGCGUGUGCCGUGGGUGAGCGCUCGUUCGGCGGCAAGCUGCUGAUGGAGUCGCGCGGCGCUGGUGCGCCUCGCCCGACGCCGCUGCAGGAGCGCCUGGACGAGCUUGCCGACCUCAUCGGCCGCAUCGGUCUCGGCGCUGCGAUGCUACUGUUCGCCUUGCUAUCCUUGAUGGAGGGGUUCCGGAUGCUGCAGCACGACUCGGGAGCUUCGUGCCGCCACUUCCUCGACUACUUCCUUCUCUGUGUCGCCAUCAUUGUGGUGGCCGUGCCGGAGGGUCUUCCGCUGGCCGUGACGAUCGCGCUUGCCUACUCUCAGAACAAGAUGCAUGACGACAACAACCAGGUGCGCCGCCUGCGCGCGUGCGAGACGAUGGGCAACGCGACGCAGAUUUGCAGCGACAAGACAGGCACGCUGACGCAGAACCUGAUGAGCGUGGUGCAGGGCUACGUUGGCAUGCAGCACUUUUCUGUGAAGCGUCCUGGCGACUUGCCGGAGCCGGUGCCGCUGUCUGGCAUGCGCGCGACCUCGCUUCGCCAGCUCAGCGAGGGCAUUGCGAUCAACAGCUCGAGCGAGAAGGUUGUGAGCACGACGGACAAGGAGGGCCACACGGUCGCGCCGUACUGGCAGUGGGUGGCGGACAAGGGCAACAAGACGGACAACGCGCUGCUGGACUUUGUGGACCGCGUUGCGAUGACGGAGGCGGACGCACGCGACAUGGGGUCGCGGCCGCACCAGCGGAUUCGCGAGGCGUGCCGGCAGCGCGGGUUCACGAUCUUCCCGUUCACGAGCGACCGGAAGCGGAUGAGCGCUGUUGUGCGGCAGGAGGACGGGACGCUGGUGCACCAUGUGAAGGGCGGGUCUGACCGUAUUCUGCCGCUGUGCGACCGGUACGUGAACGAGGCGGGCGACGAGGUGCCCAUGACGGACGAGGCGCGGGCGCGCAUUGCGCAGCAGGUGAAAAAGUUGGCGGACAUGGCGAACCGCACCAUCGGUGUCGCGUACGCGGUGCUUGGCGGCACUGAGCUUCCCGAGGAUGAACCGACCGAGAGCUUGGUAUGGCUGUCCCUGCUCGGCAUCCAGGACCCGCUGCGACCGGAGGUGGCGGAUGCCGUGAUGAAGUGCCAGGCGGCGGGAGUGACGGUGCGCAUGUGCACAGGUGACAACAUCGAUACGGCGGUGGCCAUCUCACGCCAGUGCGGCAUCUUCAACCGCUCUCGCGGCGAUCUUGCGAUGACUGGCCAGGACUUCCGCAAUCUUGUGUACGACGCGUACGGCGACGACGAGCGCAUGGCGAAGUUCUGGCCUGUGCUGGACCACAUGACGGUGAUGGCGCGCUCGCAGCCGCUGGACAAGCAGCUUCUUGUGCUGAUGCUGAUGACGCGCGGCGAGGUUGUCGCUGUGACCGGCGACGGCACGAACGACGCACCUGCGCUGCGCCUUGCGAACGUUGGGUUUGUGAUGCGGAGCGGGACGGACAUUGCGGUGAAGUCUGCGGACAUUGUGCUGCUGGACGACAACUUCCGCUCUGUGCAGCGCGCCGUUGUGUGGGGCCGGUGCGUGAACGACAACAUCCGCAAGUUCUUGCAGCUGCAGCUGACGGUGAACUACGUGUCCGUGGCACUGACGUUCAUCGGGUCGCUCAUGGCGGGCGGCCAUUCCUCGCCGCUGACGACGGUGCAGCUGCUGUGGGUGAACCUGAUCAUGGACACACUGGCCGCCUUGGCGCUUGCGACGGAGGAGCCGAGCGAGGAGUGCCUGAAGCGGCAGCCCAUUCACCGCAAGGCACCGCUGGUUUCGCGCCGCAUGCACAUGACGAUCACGUUGAUUGCUGUGUAUCACCUGGCUCUCGUACUCGUGUUGCAGGCGUUCGGUUACCGGUGGUUCGGCCUGGAGCGCUACAGCCGCGAGCACAGCACAAUCGUCUUCAACGUGUUUGUGUUCGGCGCCUUGUUCCAGAUGUUCAACUGCCGCAAGCUGUACGAUGAGGUGGACUUCUUCGAGGGCUUUGAGCGGUCGAAGCUUUUCGUUGUCGUCAUAUGCUUCUGUGUGUUGUUUCAGAUUAUCGCCGUGCAGACGUUCGGCGACUUCAUGGACGUCUGCCGCCUGCGGUUCUCGGAGUGGACGGUGUCGAUCAUGCUGACGUUCGCCACAAUCCCGCUCGGCAUGGUGUCGCGGUUGAUUCCUGUCGAGGAGGCGCACUUUGAGCGCGAGUUCGACGCGGAGAACAUCGACGAGGACGCAAGGCAGUUCUUGGUGAAGUUGGCGAAGGACGUAGAGCGCACCGCGGACGAGCGCGCGGGCCGGUCUGGUGAGGCGCUGAGCAAGGCGAAGCGUGCGCGUGUACUAAGCCUGUGGUACCGCGCGUACGCCGAGCAUGUGGGAACGCUGCGGGUCGUCAACGCGUUCCGCCGCGCGCACUUCGAUCGCGACAUGACGUCGGAGUUGUCGCGCAAUGUGUACCGCCAGAUGGUCGAGCUCACCUCACCGAAGCCGUAAGCUCCCUGGAUUUGAUGCACGAGUUAAGCGGCCACAAGUCGUGCCGGUGAAGGGUUGACGUGGUGGAGGGCUUGCCACGCCGGCUGGCGAUCCGACUGAAGCAGAGUCGCGCGGCUCAUGUGUGUCAUCCGCACCGAUCAGUGCGACAGCCACUUCAUCGUGCGCCCACACGAUCACACAUCCGUUCGCACAUCCGUCCACGUCAUCGCCACGACGUCUUCACGUGCGCGUCGUCUCCGCUCACUCCUUGCUUCGGUCUCUUCUGAAGAGGCCGCGCUUCUCGUUGGCGCCGUAUGCUACGGUGCACUUCCUUCGCUCGCUGUGUCUGUGUGCCUCGCCACGGCCCAAACAGCUGGAUCAGUGGAUGGCGCUGUACGGUGAAGCCUCUUGUUUGCACCUUCUCCUCCCGCUAGUCUUCACAGCCGUUGUGGUCGCAUCCUCCCCCUUGCCGUCUGCGUGCCGGCCCCGCGCGUGUCUCUUCUUUCUUCUGGACUCUCUUUUAUUGCUGUACCUUGCGCAGUUCUAUGGUGUUAUGUCUCUGCCUGUCUCUAUGCGCUUGCCCGUUCGCUCGUGGCAGUGGAUGCCGAGUGUUCGCCCACAUCUCUUCGCGCCUUCACCGUUGCUUCCACAUCCUUCGCGAUAACCCACACACACACACUCAGGACACGCGAUCUACGUACACAUAUGAGCCACCGUAUUCGCGGAGAGAGUGAAGGGGUUGAACGGUACGCGCAGAAGGGGGAGGUCAGGUGAGCGCAGCGCAGUAGAGGCUCUGUGUGUCCUUCCUGUGGCGCCUUUGUGGUUGUUUUGCGAUUUGCUUGGCUGUUGUGCACCCCUCUUCCUAUAUUGUGCCUUCUCUCUCUCCCUCCCGCUCGGCGCACGAGCACGUGGUGGGUGUAGAUGGCGUGUGGCGACAUGGGUCGAUUCAUGGAUGCCGUGGAAGGCACCGUGCGGUGACAGAAACGCGCCAUCUUUCCUUUGGACUCGGUGUCUUCGUCUGCUUGUCUCUGCGUGAGGGGAGCACAUAUGUGAUAGGGCGUAAGAAGAAAGAAGCGCACGCACACACAUAUACACACACACACACGUGGUCUCGUCUCACGCCCAUGGGAAGGCUCUGCAAAGGUGAGAGCGUACACGCAGGCAAGCCACUCCAACGGAGGCCCAUGAAUGCCGAGGCUCAUCUCUGUUUCAUGGCGAGCAGAGAAGACCCCCCUCCUCCUCCUCCCCGGAAAAAGCAAGAGGGCCAUCAGCGUCGCGGUGAAGGACGGAAAUGAUGGGAUGGGGAGGUGCAGCUUCAGCUGUUAGGGCGGCAGUGCAUUAAUCCAAUAAGCUCCGCUCCUUUUUUUUUUGGCCUCCCCCCUGUGUGUGUGUGCCGCAACCACCACCCCGGGUAGUAGGUGGGGUGACUGCCGUGGUGACUGCAGGGAUGCCGGCACAAUGAGCAGCGGCCCCGCCUCUCUGUGUCCAGUUUGUGAUGCACUCGUUUAUACUCUGCUUCGUGAAAGCCACCUCUAUCCUCCCUCUCUCUCCCUCUAUUUAUCGCGCGCGCUCUCCCGUCUUUGUCGCCCUCCUGCCACGCUGCGUGCCGCCGACGGACGACAACGGGCCGACACUCACGCACACGCCAAACCCUCACCACACACGCACUAACAG
rnacentral:misc_RNA from 1 species